rnacentral:tRNA from 1 species
UUGGUCAUGGCAUAGUGGUUUGAGUAUUGGACUAUGAUUCUGGAGAUCAGGGUUCAAAUCCCAGCUUGGCCAUA